rnacentral:tRNA from 1 species
GGGCCUGUAGUAUAGCGGCAAUACGCUACAUUCGCAUUGUAGAGACGUGAGUUCGAUUCUCGCCAGGUCCACAA